CAAUAGCGUAUAUUAAAGUUGUUGCAGUUAAAAAGCUCGUAGUUGGACCUUGGACCUGGACAGGCGGUCCGCCUCACGGCGAGUACUGUCUUGCUGGGUCUUUCCUCUUGGUGAUCUGUUGUUUCGGCAGCAGGGAACCAGGACCUUUACUUUGAAAAAAUUAGAGUGUUCAAAGCAGGCUCGACGCCGGAAUAUAUUAGCAUGGAAUAAUAAAAUAGGACGUGCGGUUCUAUUUUGUUGGUUUUUGGAAUCGCCGUAAUGAUUAAUAGGGACAGUCGGGGGCAUUAGUACUCACAUGCUAGAGGUGAAAUUCUUGGAUUUUGUGAAGACUAACUUCUGCGAAAGCAUUUGCCAAGGAUGUUUUCAUUGA
rnacentral:rRNA from 1 species